rnacentral:rRNA from 1 species
GAUGAACGCUGGCGGCGUGCCUAAUACAUGCAAGUCGAGCGAAUGGAUUAAGAGCUUGCUCUUAUGAAGUUAGCGGCGGACGGGUGAGUAACACGUGGGUAACCUGCCCAUAAGACUGGGAUAACUCCGGGAAACCGGGGCUAAUACCGGAUAACAUUUUGAACCGCAUGGCUCGAAAUUGAAAGGCUGCUUCGGCUGUCACUUAUGGAUGGACCCACGUCGCAUUAGAUAGUCGGUGAGGUAACGGCUCACCAAGGCAACGAUGCGUAGCCCACCUGAGAGAGUGAUCGGCCACACUGGGACUGAGACACGGACCAGACUCCUACGGGAGGCAGCAGUAGGGAAUCUUCCGCAAUGGACGAAAGUCUGACGGAGCAACGCCGCGUGAGUGAUGAAGGCUUUCGGGUCGUAAAACUCUGUUGUUAGGGAAGAACAAGUGCUAGUUGAAUAAGCUGGCACCUUGACGGUACCUAACCAGAAAGCCACGGCUAACUACGUGCCAGCCGCCGCAGUAA